UGACAGACUGAGUUUCAGGACGACUCCAAAGUAUCACUUUGCUUUAAAAAGAUGCAAGAAGGAAGAAGCAUUAGCCUACAGCUUACUUCCUUGAUUCAGGCUUUCUUUGCUGGCAGAAUCAUUAUGAGUAAAAACCCUCCUAUCAUUGACAGCGUGGAAGCAGCUUAUUACAGGUGCACAGCACUGGAGAGAAGAGGGUCACCUGGUUCCUGACAAGAACAGACUCCUGAAUGAGCCCUGUCGCAAAUGAAUCAACAAAAGAGGGGCCAUCAGCUUCUGGCAUAGGAUGCAAAGAAGACACGGUGGUAAAAUAUAAAGACAACAGC
ensembl:lncRNA